GCGUAGGGUGCAAGCGUUGUCCGGAAUUAUUGGGCGUAAAGAGCUCGUAGGCGGUCAGUCGCGUCUGCUGUGAAAACUCAGGGCUUAACCCUGAGCUUGCAGUGGGUACGGGCAGACUAGAGUGCGGUAGGGGAGACUGGAAUUCCUGGUGUAGCGGUGAAAUGCGCAGAUAUCAGGAGGAACACCGGUGGCGAAGGCGGGUCUCUGGGCCGUAACUGACGCUGAGGAGCGAAAGCAUGGGGAGCGAACAGGA
rnacentral:rRNA from 1 species